GCUUGGAAACUUCCUGUGAUGCUAGAGAAGAUGGAUCUCAGUGUUAUGGAGCUCUGGGAGGAACUGUCUAUCUCCAGCUGACUAAUAUCACAGGAUAUAAUGAACUCUCAUUUUGGAAAGGCUCAACCGGUGCUAAAACACAGAUACUGAAAACGAAGAAGGACCAAUGUUCAGUUAUAGACACAGACCGAGUACACUUCUUUAUAAACAAUGGGACAUUGAGGUUAAAUAACACAAGAAGGAAUGAUUCUGGUGAAUACAUGCUCGAAAAAUUUGAUUCAGAAGGGAAAUCAUCAGGGACCAGAGGACUACAACUGUUCAUCGAAGGUAAAUAACUAACUUGCCAGAUAAUAACUUGCAAAAUAAUUAUUACAUAUGAUAACUUUGACAAGCUAUUUCUCUGGCUAAUCUACAAAUAUGUGACUACCUAAUAAUACAAAUCAUUUAUGUGUAACCAUGGAGUCAUUUUUAUUUUCAUAUGUCACGACCUCUGCCGAAGUUGGUGCCUCUCCUUGUUCGGGCGGUGUUCGGCGCUCAUCGUCACCGGCUUUCUAGCUGCUACCGAUCCAUGUUUCUGUUUUCCGUUUGUUAUGUCUUGAGUGUACACACCUGGUUCCCAUUAAGUUAUUAUUAGUUCCAGAUUUAUCCCUCUGGUUCCCAUUAUGUAUUGUGCGUGAUUGUUCCGGUUAUGUGUUAGUUUUGCGUGUUAGGAUUUGUUACUCGUACAUGGAUUUAUUGUACUGUUAUUUUUCCAGAGUAAAGUACGUUAUUUUUACUCAGUUCUGUUUCCUGCGCUAGACUCCUUCCUCACCUAUACACCACUGACGCUGACAUCAUAGUCUACUGAAAAUACAUAGUCAUAACCACAUCCAUCAACAUUAAAUCAUCUGUUGGUUAUUUGAAAUACAGUCAUUAUGUGUCAUGAAUCUGCUGCUCCUGUCGACUACAGUAGUUUCUGUGGCUUUAAAGAAGAAUGUCUGGUGUUGUGUUGUAAUGUGUUUUUCCCUCUUACUACAGUUACAUAUCCUUCUUCCCCCACAGCUCCAGUGUCCAGUCCUCAGCUGUCCUCUGAGUGUCUGUCUCAUGGAGAGAUGAAGGUGUCCUGCUCCUCUGAGGGGGAUGGUCCCCAGUACAGCUGGACUCUGGAUGGACAGACGCUGAACGACACUGAUGCCCCUCCUGAUAAUAAGACAAACACCAUCACUCUGAAGAAAGGCUUGUCAGGAGAUCUCACCUGUACCGUCAGAAACAACAUCAACCGUAAUACUAUCAGCAGUAGAAUCUUACACUGUCCAGGGCUGAUAUAUGUUAACUGCACCUUAUCCAACGGGACAAAGAUAUCAGAGUGGGUGAAUGCCACUGGUAAUACCCUGUGUGUUGAGUCUACAACAGUGGUGACUGUGACUGAGUCUCCCACCAGUAAAAUCUUCACUGGUAAGGGCCCGGGGCAUGACACCCUAAUGACCUCCAGACCCAGCAAUCACACCCAGGGCUUGACUAACAGCACUUGUACUAACACCACUCAGACCCUUUGGAUUUUUACCACAAAGUACAUAGGGAUGGCAGCAGGGUCUCUGGCAGGAGUGGUCCUUGUCUUAUUGAUGGUGUUGGCAGUUUACUGUGUCCAGAAGAAAAAUAAACCUCCUUCAAAGGCUCAAGUUAUCUCUCUUUCCACAGUUAAGGGUGACAGCCAGGAUGUGGAAUACGCUGAUGUCAGGAUACUGAGGCAGGAAAUGAGACAGAAGGAGAGGGAGGCGCCGGUGGAGGUGGAAUAUGGGCAAGUGAACGAAGUGUGUGGUCCCCAGCAGCCGGUGGAGGUGGAGUAUGGACAGAUUACAAUAUUAGAGGGUCCCAGGAGGAAGGUAGACAUGCCUGAGGAGGAGUAUUGCAUGUAUGCCAGUGUACGGAAAGGACAGUGA
rnacentral:lncRNA from 13 species